AGUCGUCCUCAGUGCCACCAGUGACAAGCGAACGACUAGCACGAGCACGGUGACCUUCGGAAUUAAGAUAAGAACGACCGACGGCUGCGAAAUUAUUCAUGGCACAUCUGCGGAUCCAUCAUGUCUUCUCUGUGAAUCGCCCCAUGUUUGACGGGAGUCUGGAGACAUUGUGCCCGUGGGAACGCCGUCCUCCCAUCAGAUGGCAGCUUCUGUGUCACCGCUGCUCUUGUCUGCAAUCUCCAUGUUUUGUCUCCCGAAGGAGACUUUCUCAGGUGCAGUUGCUCGUCUUCGCCCGUCCUCCGUCGUUUUCUUCUUCUGGGAUCAGUGGACAGAGGGAAGUCCUGCCGUCCGUCACUCCUCGCCAGACAAACACAGAGAUCUGGUUACGGCCACCAACCAAAAAGCUCCAACACACACACACACACACACACACACACACACACACUGAAGAGGCCUCCUUUGUCCAGAUCGAGCCGAAGGAGCGAACGGAGACGAGGCCGCGGCAGCUUGUCAUUGAUGUAAACGCGUCACAUCGACGGUGAUUCAUCUCUCGCGGAAGUAGAAAGUCAAGGUCAUACAAAGGCUUGUUUUUCCUUAACUGCUGGAGCUGUAACUCCUUGGCUACUGUACGCCACAGUGCGCCGUGAGAGUGGGCGGCUCGCUGUUCUGAAUUUCAGGAAUCAAGCGCAUUACAUUCUUUGUCUUCAUCUCAGAGAAACUGCUUUUUUUUUGCAUUUUGAACCUUUUCCUGACACCAGCGGAAGACUGGCAAAAAAAAAUAAAAGACUGGCGGAUUCCCA